rnacentral:lncRNA from 1 species
CCCGGUGUAUUUUCCAUAUAAGAAUGUCCCAUCGAUUGAGAUAACAGGUCGGCAAUAUUUAAAUCCCUCAAUCGAUUGCUUAAAAGCCCAAAACAUACGGUCAAAUACACGACACAUCGGAUUUAAUCGCUCAUUUAUCCAAUGUGGAUUAUCUUCAAUCAUGUAUACUGUUUCUGGGUUAAAAUGAUGAAGAGCAGUCAUGAAUCUACGCAAACGACUGUAUGAUUCAUCCCAAGCCCCAUAAAGCCUUGCAAUUGCCUUCUGCUUAGCUUUCUAUGUUUUCUGAUAAGA